rnacentral:rRNA from 1 species
UACGAAGGGUGCAAGCGUUACUCGGAAUUACUGGGCGUAAAGGGUGCGUAGGUGGUUCUUUAAGUCUGCUGUGAAAUCCCCGGGCUCAACCUGGGAAUGGCAGUGGAUACUGGAGAGCUAGAGUGCGGUAGAGGGUAGUGGAAUUCCCGGUGUAGCAGUGAAAUGCGUAGAGAUCGGGAGGAACACCAGUGGCGAAGGCGGCUACCUGGACCAGCACUGACACUGAAGCACGAAAAGCGUGGGGGAGCAAACAGG